rnacentral:rRNA from 1 species
GACGAACGCUGGCGGCGUGCUUAACACAUGCAAGUCGAACGGAAAGGCCCUGCUUUUGUGGGGUGCUCGAGUGGCGAACGGGUGAGUAACACGUGAGUAACCUGCCCUUGACUUUGGGAUAACUUCAGGAAACUGGGGCUAAUACCGGAUAGGAGCUCCUGCUGCAUGGUGGGGGUUGGAAAGUUUCGGCGGUUGGGGAUGGACUCGCGGCUUAUCAGCUUGUUGGUGGGGUAGUGGCUUACCAAGGCUUUGACGGGUAGCCGGCCUGAGAGGGUGACCGGCCACAUUGGGACUGAGAUACGGCCCAGACUCAUACGGGAGGCAGAAGUGGGGAAUAUUGCAAAAUGGGCGGAAGCCUGAUGCAGCAACGCCGCGUGCGGGAUGACGGCCUUCGGGUUGUAAACCGCUUUCGCCUGUGACGAAGCGUGAGUGAUGGUAAUGGGUAAAGAAGCACCGGCUAACUACGUG